UACGAAGGGGGCUAGCGUUGCUCGGAAUUACUGGGCGUAAAGGGCGCGUAGGCGGAUGUUUAAGUCGGGGGGUGAAAGCCCGGGGCUCAACCUCGGAAUUGCCAUUGAAACUGUUGAACUCGAGGACGAGAGAGGUGAGUGGAAUUCCCAGUGUAGAGGUGAAAUUCGUAGAUAUUGGGAAGAACACCGGUGGCGAAGGCGGCUCACUGGCUCGUUUCUGACGCUCAGGCGCGACAGCGUGGGGAUCAAACAGG
rnacentral:rRNA from 1 species